GACGUAGGGCGCGAGCGUUGUCCGGAUUUAUUGGGCGUAAAGAGCUCGUAGGCGGCUUGUUGCGUCAGCUGUGAAAACCCGCAGCUCAACUGUGGGCUUGCAGCUGAUACGGGCAGGCUUGAGUUCGGUAGGGGAGACUGGAAUUCCUGGGUGUAGCGGUGAAAUGCGCAGAUAUCAGGAGGAACACCGGUGGCGAAGGCGGGUCUCUGGGCCGAUACUGACGCUGAGGAGCGAAAGCGUGGGGAGCGAACAGG
rnacentral:rRNA from 1 species